rnacentral:rRNA from 1 species
CACGUAGGGCGCGAGCGUUGUCCGGAAUUAUUGGGCGUAAAGAGCUCGUAGGCGGCCUGUUGCGUCCGCUGUGAAAGCCCGGGGCUUAACCCCGGGUCUGCAGUGGAUACGGGCAGGCUAGAGGUAGGUAGGGGAGAAUGGAAUUCCCGGUGUAGCGGUGAAAUGCGCAGAUAUCGGGAGGAACACCGGGUGGCGAAGGCGGUUCUCUGGGCCUUACCUGACGCUGAGGAGCGAAAGCGUGGGGAGCGAACAGG